GCUACUACUACGUCCAGUUACUGUUCAGGUAAGUAUAUAUGCAGUCAAAACUUUCUACUGUGCAGAAAAUAUUUUGGCAAUACACGCUUGAAUAUGUAGCUAGCUUACAAAUUAAUUAUUGGCAUGAACAAACACUAUCAAAAAAUUAUAGAGCUACUAGCAUGGCUAAGAGGCCACACUAGAUCAGUGAGGAGGUGCUGCAUGAAAUUGUGGGCUAUCCACUAGCUCUGGGACCUGCACAGAUUGACAUAGAAGACCCAGUAGCUGAGUACAGCAAGGUAACAGAGAUGUGCCAGUCAUGAGGGCAGUGAUGAUGAGUUUUCUGACAGGAGCUUGAAGACAAAUAAAAUGGCUUCACUCAAUGUAUAGAAUAAAAACAAGAACAUCAAAUACCCGGUACAGUACAACAAUAAUUACAACAUUAAAUUAUCAAAAAUGUAGAUCUGGAUAGGACAUCGACACUGCAUGACCUGAACACUGUUGUGAACCACCAACGUCAACCUUCCUGUACAUGGAAUUGUCUGUGCGCGUGUAUAUAUGCGUAGGCGACUCCAAGGUACUCCAAAAGGGACCCAGUGGCAGUGCAUACAGUGGCAGUGUCAAGUGCAUAGUGUGACAGCAAAGUAUCAGCAGUAGCCACAGACAUCAACAGAUGUCAGACACUUUUUAUAUCUAUUGUUAGUUACGCAAAGAAUUAUAAUCGUUACUGAUGGUAAAAAAAAAGUUUUUCAAGGCUCGAAGAACAAAGGCGAGGCUAUUAUUUUACUAUUCAAGGGCGAUAUAUAAUUACAUAAUACUCAGGGACUGGACAAGGAAUUUUGUUAUAAUGAGAUUCAUACACAUGGCGUCAUCGCAUUGGAAUGUUUAUCACGUGUGUGGGUGGAAAACGUCUGCAAUUACUAGUGGGGGUGGGGGGUGGAGCUUUGAUCACACCGUAGCUAGUUGAUCGAAUUUGUUGUAGGCGAGAACUUGUUUCCUGCUGCGCAAGACAGAGUGCAGCCAAACAAGAAAGUUAGGAGGAGAUCUCAGGGACAAUUCAGCUGGAUUUCAUCAGUAUAAUAUUAUGAUAUGUACAUCAGGAUUCCAGCUGGAAAAGAUAGGAUCUAACUAAGCUGGAACAAAUCCUCUUUUUACAAGGAAAUUUCAUUUUAAUUGGUCACAUGAUGGUCACAUGAUUUUUAUUUUCAUUUAAAUUCAGAGGAGGGAGGACCUAAUUAUCGCGACCUUUUAAUUACAUUCUUUGAACGAUUCAUCUUCUCUUUCUUUAUAACCUCUACAUAUUGGGACACACAGAACAGUACUGUAGUAUGAGUGACAGGCACAGAGCAAACCGCUAGAAGCUGAGACUGUUAGUGUCAUUGAUGUUCUUCAUGUUGGAAACACUCUGAACUAAACAAUUCCAUGUUGCACAGAGACAGGAGUGCCUGGGGUGCUUCUCACAGGGAUCUUGGAGACAGGAGUGCCUGGGGUGUUCCUCAUAGGGAUCCUGUCUCCAGGAUCAAGAGUGCUUCUCACAGAGACAAGAUCAGAGUGCCUGAGAUGCUGGAUCUUAGAGAUAGGAGUACUUGAGGUGCUUCUUAUAGGGGUCCUAUUACCUUCAGGUCCUGACAACUUGGCCAUAGUCCAGUAGCUUACUUCUCUAGCCUUGUGUCCAAUAUG